rfam:Schistosoma curassoni strain Dakar, Senegal genome assembly, scaffold: SCTD_scaffold0018918
AUCCAGCUGACGAGUCCCAGUCCCAAGUAGGACGAAACGUGCGUCUUGGAU